UACGUAGGGUGCAAGCGUUAUCCGGAAUCACUGGGCGUAAAGCGUGUGUAGGCGGAAGUUUAAGUGUGAUGUUAAAUCGUGUGGCUCAACCAUAUCGAUGCAUCGCAUACUGGAUUUCUAGAGGAUGGCAGAGGCAAGUGGAACUCGUAGUGUAGCAGUGAAAUGCGUAGAUAUUACGAAGAACACCAAUGGCGAAGGCAGCUUGCUGGGCCACCCCUGACGCUGAGACACGAAAGCGUGGGGAGCGAACAGG
rnacentral:rRNA from 1 species